GUGGGUAGUUUGACUGGGGCGGUCUCCUCCUAAAGAGUAACGGAGGAGCACGAAGGUUGGCUAAUCCUGGUCGGACAUCAGGAGGUUAGUGCAAUGGCAUAAGCCAGCUUGACUGCGAGCGUGACGGCGCGAGCAGGUGCGAAAGCAGGUCAUAGUGAUCCGGUGGUUCUGAAUGGAAGGGCCAUCGCUCAACGGAUAAAAGGUACUCCGGGGAUAACAGGCUGAUACCGCCCAAGAGUUCAUAUCGACGGCGGUGUUUGGCACCUCGAUGUCGGCUCAUCACAUCCUGGGGCUGAAGUAGGUCCCAAGGGUAUGGCUGUUCGCCAUUUAAAGUGGUACGCGAGCUGGGUUUAGAACGUCGUGAGACAGUUCGGUCCCUAUCUGCCG
rnacentral:rRNA from 1 species